AGCUCCAAUAGCGUAUAUUAAAGUUGUUGCAGUUAAAAAGCUCGUAGUUGGAUCUCGAAAUAGAAAGAGUUUGAUCCCUUGAAAAACAUCAAGAGUGUAUCAACUCUUUUAUUUCCAAUUUGUCAGGCUUAUAUACCCUGCCUUAAUUGGUAGAGUAUAAAAGGAGUUCGCUCUGAAAGUUCUGACUAGUUUACUUUGAAAAAAUUAGAGUGUUCAAAGCAAGUGAAAUUUUCACUAUCGAAUAUUACAGCAUGGGAUAAUAGAAUAGGACUUCAUUCUUAGUUUCUUGGUUCGAGGAAUGAGGUAAUGAUUAAUAGGGAUAGUCGGGGGCAUUAGUAUUUCAUUGUCAGAGGUGAAAUUCUUGGAUUAAUGAAAGACUAACUUAAGCGAAAGCAUCUGC
rnacentral:rRNA from 1 species